rnacentral:rRNA from 1 species
GACGAACCGUGCGAACGUUGUUCGGAAUCACUGGGCUUAAAGGGCGCGUAGGCGGGCCGGCCGGUCGGAGGUGAAAGCCCCCAGCUCAACUGGGGAAGCGCCCCCGAUACCGCCGGCCUGGAGGGGGUAGGGGCGUGCGGAACUUCCGGUGGAGCGGUGAAAUGCAUUGAUAUCCAUAGGAACUCCGGUGGCGAAGGCGGCUUGCUGGACCCUUUCUGACGCUGAGGCGCGAAAGCUAGGGGAGCAAACGGG